AACGAACGCUGGCGGCAGGCCUGACACAUGCAAGUCGAGCGCCCCGCAAGGGGAGCGGCAGACGGGUGAGUAACGCGUGGGAAUCUUCCUAGUGGUACGGAAUAGCCCCGGGAAACUUGGAGUAAUACCGUAUACGCCCGAAAGGGGAAAGAUUUAUCGCCAUUAGAUGAGCCCGUGUUGGAUUAGCUAGUUGGUGGGGUAACGGCCCACCAAGGCGACGAUCCAUAGCUGGUCUGAGAGGAUGAUCAGCCACACUGGGACUGAGACACGGCCCAGACUCCUACGGGAGGCAGCAGUGGGGAAUAUUGGACAAUGGGCGCAAGCCUGAUCCAUCCAUGCCGCGUGAGUGACGAAGGUCUUCGGAUUGUAAAGCUCUUUUGGCGGGGACGAUAAUGACGGUACCCGCAGAAUAAGCCCCGGCUAACUUCGUGCCAGCCGCCGCCGUAAAAC
rnacentral:rRNA from 1 species